UACGAAGGGGGCUAGCGUUGUUCGGAAUUAUUGGGCGUAAAGGGCUCGUAGGCGGUCUGUCACGUCGGGAGUGAAAACUCAGGGCUUAACCCUGAGCCUGCUUCCGAUACGGGCAGACUAGAGGUAUGCAGGGGAGAACGGAAUUCCUGGUGUAGCGGUGAAAUGCGCAGAUAUCAGGAGGAACACCGGUGGCGAAGGCGGUUCUCUGGGCAUUACCUGACGCUGAGGAGCGAAAGUGUGGGGAGCGAACAGG
rnacentral:rRNA from 1 species